rnacentral:rRNA from 1 species
UGGGGAAUAUUGCACAAUGGGGGAAACCCUGAUGCAGCCAUGCCGCGUGUGUGAAGAAGGCCUUCGGGUUGUAAAGCACUUUCAGCGAGGAGGAAAGGUCAGUAGCUAAUAUCUGCUGGCUGUGACGUUACUCGCAGAAGAAGCACCGGCUAACUCCGUGCCAGCAGCCGCGGUAAUACGGAGGGUGCAAGCGUUAAUCGGAAUUACUGGGCGUAAAGCGCACGCAGGCGGUUGGAUAAGUUAGAUGUGAAAGCCCCGGGCUCAACCUGGGAAUUGCAUUUAAAACUGUCCAGCUAGAGUCUUGUAGAGGGGGGUAGAAUUCCAGGUGUAGCGGUGAAAUGCGUAGAGAUCUGGAGGAAUACCGGUGGCGAAGGCAAUCCCCUGGGCCUGUACUGACGCUCAUGCACGAAAGCGUGGGGAGCAAACAGGAUU